GGCUGCUAUGCCUUAGGGCCGCGUGGAGCUUUGGGAGAUGUAGUUAGCGAGAGGGCGCGGCCUUCUCCGGGCUCCUCCCAGUCCGAUUGCGUCGUGACCUCGUCCCAACGAGGCGUCCGCCCUGGAAUUCACCCGGGUAGUCACCGCGAUGAGCCAUGCGGCAGUUAUGCAGCUUGAUGAACGUCAGCUUAUCGAUCACAGAUGGACUGUUCACAAAGAUUCGAUUGGAAGAGCAACGUUCAAGUUGCAGUAUUGUCAAUAAACAGGGAGACUGUGUUUGAAGAGUACUGUGUCCCAUUACUACUGAACAGCAAAUCAAUACCCAUGACCUCGUACUGGAAAAGCGUUUCCAUGGUAACAGCACACAUGGAAAUUAUUCUUUAACAAUUAAAGAAUGUCAU
rnacentral:lncRNA from 1 species